rnacentral:rRNA from 1 species
AUGAGUUGUCAUGGCUCAAGGCAAAGAGCCAGUUGCAUUGAGAGUCUUGCUAUACAUCAUUUCUAUUAUGUUAUCACUAACUCGUUGCAGGCACGAGGAGAAGUUUCUAAGGUGAAUGAUGAGAACAUGCUAGUUCUCGGGAAAGAAGCAAACCUUGACGUCGGUUAUUCGCCCAACUUAGGGGCAAUACUUUUGCACCUCGCACAUCAAGAAAAUCAUGCACAAGGAGAUAUCGUGUGUGGAGGAGUGAUCACCAUGUUGGCCAAUUCCCUUGGCCUCAACUACAAUCAGCUUCACCCCAUAGUCGGAAGGAGAUGCAGCUGUUGA